UACGGAGGAUGCGAGCGUUAUCCGGAUUUAUUGGGUUUAAAGGGUGCGUAGGCGGAAUAUCAAGUCAGCGGUAAAAAUUCGGGGCUCAACCCCGUCGUGCCGUUGAAACUGAUGUUCUUGAGUGGGCGAGAAGUAUGCGGAAUGCGUGGUGUAGCGGUGAAAUGCAUAGAUAUCACACAGAACACCGAUUGCGAAGGCAUCUCACGAAUCCGCGAUUGACGCUGAUGCACGAAAGCGUGGGUAUCAAACAGG
rnacentral:rRNA from 1 species